AAAGAAAAAGGAAACAAAAGAAAGUUUUUUUUAAUAGAAGGUAUCUCUUUGGUUCAAAAAAGUAUCAAAAAGAUUAGUAUUUGGGUGAUAGAAGAAAUGAAGGGGUACUUUGAGAAUGGGAAAAUAUUUGUCAGUGUACGAGGUGUUAAUACGAGGAUGACUUGUUGUUUUUCUUACAGUAUGCGUUUACAAGCAAGUGGAAAGCAGGAGGUUUGUGGGAGGUGCUAUCCUUGACCCCCAAAUUACAUGGACUGUCUUCAAGUUGUGCUUAUUAGUGUGGACACAAAUCGAAUAUCCGAGUUUUUAGAAAUAUUUGGAAUAUGAUUCCUUUUGUUUAAAUAAUCAGCUAUGUGUGUGCAUGCCAUAUAACGGAUUUGAUCGGAUAUCUUUUUUUUUUAAAAUAUUAGUAUUAGAAAUUUGUUUCGU
rnacentral:lncRNA from 1 species